GCCCUGUUUUACAAAAACAUGUCUUUUUGAAAUAAAUUUAAAGUCUAACCUGCCCAAUGAAAUUUAUUUAAAUGGCCGCAGUAUUCUAACUGUGCAAAGGUAGCAUAAUCAUUAGUCUUUUAAUUGAAGGCUGGAAUGAAUGGUUGGACGAAAUAUUAACUGUUUCAUUAAAAAUUUUUUUAAAACUUUAUUUUUUAGUCAAAAAGCUAAAAUUUAUUUAAAAGACGAGAAGACCCUAUAAAUCUUUACAUUUUUUUUAUUUUAAUUAUAAAGAUUAUUUUUAUUAUUAUAAAUAAAAAUGUUUUAUUGGGGUGAUAUUAAAAUUUAAAAAACUUUUAAUUUUAAAUACAUUAAUUUAUGAAUAAUUGAUCCAUUAAUAAUGAUUAAAAAUUUAAGUUACUUUAGGGAUAACAGCGUAAUUUUUUUGGAGAGUUCUUAUCGAUAAAAAAGAUUGCGACCUCGAUGUUGGAUUAAGAUAUAAUUUUGGGUGUAGCCGUUCAAAUUUUAAGUCUGUUCGACUUUUAAAUUCUUACGUGAUCUGAGUUCAAACCGGA
rnacentral:rRNA from 1 species